rnacentral:ncRNA from 2 species
UAAAUACAAGAAUUUUGUGGUCCGAAAGGUUAAAAGGGAAGGCGGUGAAAAUCCGCUGCAGCCCCCGCUACUGUAAGCGAGGAUAGAGCCCUGAUAUACCACUGUUUGAUACCUGGUUUAAUUAAAAACCUGCUAGGUAUUGAACGGGAAGGUAGGGCAGUUGAUGAAUCGCAAGCCAGGAGACCUGCCAUAAGAUUUACAGAGUU